GAUGAACGCUGGCGGCGUGCCUAAUACAUGCAAGUCGAGCGAACAGACGCGGAGCUUGCUCCUCUGACGUUAGCGGCGGACGGGUGAAUAACACGUGGAUAACCCACCUAUAAGACUGAGAUCACUUCGGGAAACCGGCGCUAAUACCGGAUAAUAUAUUGAACCGCAUGGUUGAAUAGAGAAAGACGGUUUUGCUGUCACUUAUAGAUGGUUCCGGGCCGCAUUAGAUAGUUGGUGAGGUAAUGGCCUAUCAAGGCGACGAUGCGUAGCCGACGGCAGAGGGUGAUCGGCCACAUGAGAACGUGGACAGCCACCAUACGACUACGGUAGGGAGCAGAAGGGUAUCGUGCGCAGUAGGCGAAAACCUGACAGAGUAACGCGGCGUCAGAGAUGAAAGUGUUGGGAGCGUAAAAAUCUGUUAUGAGGGAUGAACAAAUGUGGAAGUAACUGUGGACGUCUUGACGGUAAUUAAUCAGAAAGCCACGGCUAACUACGUG
rnacentral:rRNA from 1 species